rnacentral:rRNA from 1 species
AACGAACGCUGGCGGCAUGCCUAACACAUGCAAGUCGAACGAAGGCUUCGGCCUUAGUGGCGCACGGGUGCGUAACGCGUGGGAAUCUGCCCCUCGGUUCGGAAUAACAGUUAGAAAUGACUGCUAAUACCGGAUGAUGACUUCGGUCCAAAGAUUUAUCGCCGAGGGAUGAGCCCGCGUAAGAUUAGGUAGUUGGUGGGGUAAAGGCCUACCAAGCCGAGGAUCUUUAGCUGGUCUGAGAGGAUGAUCAGCCACACUGGGACUGAGACACGGCCCAGACUCCUACGGGAGGCAGCAGUGGGGAAUAUUGGACAAUGGGCGAAAGCCUGGUCCAGCAAUGCCGCGUGAGUGAUGAAGGCCUUAGGGUUGUAAAGCUCUUUUACCAGGGAUGAUAAUGACAGUACCUGGAGAAUAAGCUCCGGCUAACUCCGUGCCAGCCGCCGCAGUAA